GAAGAGUUUUAGAUGCUUCUUGUUCUGAGAACUGCUCUAGGCCAGUUCACGUCGUGUUCUCCAUGUCGUCCCAUGAGAAUAUAACGAAGGAAACAAGAAGCAUUUUAAUAGAAGUAGCAAGAUCACAGUUCAUAUCAGCAUGACAUUCAUGAAGCCAUCCCGGUUUCUAGGAUUCUUGUUUUGCUCUGUCCAUGGCACGCCACCAACAUUCAUCCCAAAAACUGACAUUUUUUUGCAACAUAAAUCAGGUAAACGAGAGCCCUGGAAAUAGCAGGAAUUAAUUCAGGAAAGUACACGAGUAAGCACCAAGGGUCAAUGAGCUUACCUUAGGAAGGAAUGUCAUGGAGAGAAAUGAAAGGUAGUACAAGCUCUUGUUUAUCUGCUCUGAUUCUUUUUUAUCUGCUCUGAUUGCCAGCUGUCCAUGGUAGCCUAAAGUGUGGUAACUCUAUUUGUAAUGAACCCUAGGUUUUCUUUGAGCCUUCGGAGGUGACCUAUCAGACCUUCAACGACUGCUAUGUCUCCGGUUGCGAAACAGUUCUUGCUUGCACAUUUUUUCACACUGGGGAAUACUUGUUCACCGUGAGAAACGACCUACACGAACAAAAUUUUAGUGUCUGAGUCUGUGACUUAUGUUCCAUAGACUAACUAGAAUCAAGUUGGUUCAAGUGAGCAGCAGCAGAGCUCGGUUUUGUUAUCUAUGUUUGUUGCAAAAUUCAGGACCUUAUCGGCAACAGUGGUGUUAGCUAAAAUUUUUUAUUGGUGUUUCUUUUUUUUGAAGAAAUGGUAGUUGGUGUUUUUAGCCAUUUUACUAGCAGUUGUUUGCUCACAUUGCGCUUGUUUCUUGUACCCAUCAGAUAGGUUUUUUUUGUCUCCAGUUGCUCUACACAGCAAGUCUAUGAGGAAGGAGCAAAAGAAGUUGCUCUUUCAGUUGUCAGCGGAAUUAAUUUAACUAUAUGCACAAGAGAAACAACUUUUUUCUGCCACUUCCAUUUUCGAUGAUGAACCAAUGUGAGCUAACACAUGUUUUGGCAUGCACUUCUUGGCAGCAAGAAUACUUGCCUAUGGGCAAACAAGUAGUGGACUUACACAAUGAUCGAAAGGAUGGAGUAUAGUAUGCUUGACAUCUAUGACUACAUAUAUAAGGUAUAUGCACAUUUUUUACGCUUUUAUCUUUUCUGGUGGAAAAUCGGUAUUUAUUUUUCAAUCGGGAUGUUUAGAUGAAACAAAUACAUAUUAGGCUGUGAAUUUUAGUUAUGUAUGAGUUGUUUGAAGGAGUUCCUGUUUCAACGAUGAUUAGAUUUUAUAUUACCAUUAAGAUGUUUAAUAUUUUAAUUGCAAUGUUAGCCUAUUUUAUUAUAUUAAAGUUUAAUUCUGUUGUAUAUCAAUCUAAUAUUAAAAAGAUUCAAUGCUUUAUGUGGCAUACAUGUCAGUCAUUACUAUUAUUGUCUUGUUCGAAGCUAUUGGAUCCUAGGUUCUCACUUGGUGCUAUGCUUUGCUGGUAACUGGAUACACCUUAUCAUCUGUAAAUUGCGUGAGAAAAUAUAUUUCGUUGUUGGUUUUAUUUAGCAGCAGUUACGUCCAAUAAUCAUGGCUAAUUUUUUUAAUCAAACUCCUUGGCGUCGGCGAGGACCUCUUGAUCCGCAUCUGUGAUGCCAUUGUUGCAUGGUUCAAUUUCAGUAAGCAUGUGUUUGCACUAGACAAGCUUCUGCUUUAUAUGUUGCCAUUUGACCUCGGGGUGAAGGAAGGGGAUGAACUGCGUACGAAUUCUUACGUUCUGGAAAUCUUAAGAGAGACCAGGUUCCCACGGGUUCGUGGUGCCGGUGAAGUUACGUCACCUAAAACAAUCCUUCAGCACGAGUAAGAGACUAUCCGUUUCUUUUAGCAGAUUACAAAUCAAUAUAGAAGCAAACAUGGACUUCGCUGUUUAAUAGCCUAUACACUUAACUGCGAAUUGUAGCCGGAUCAUAUGGCUUGGGGGGUUGAAUUAUCGGAUUGCCCUGUCUUAUUGUUCAGCAAGGGCUCUCGUGGAAAUGCAUAGCUGAAAGCAGUUAUUGGAGAAAGAUCAGGUAAUUUGAUGUCUGCUUUUUUGUUAGCAUAUAUCUCAGUUUUUUCUCUAAAAAUUACUUCCAUUUUUUCAUAUUGUAAUGUUUGCUAAAAGUUGCUUGCUUUUCUAUAGUAACUUAAGUUGGGAUGUAUAGUCGAAUAAUAGCUUUAGGGUUGCCUACUUAUAUCAUGAGGAACUUUACUGCAUCAGUGGUCGUUUCAUAAAGACAUAAUUCCAAAUUUCUGUUUAGUAAGGUUGUUAGGUUACAGUUCAGUUUUUUCAUGGUUUACAAAUGGGUUGUUGAGUGAUAAAGUUCAUGUAGGCUAUGUUUUCCGUGGUUUACAAAUGGGCAUGUGGUAUUUUUCAAUAACUCUCAGCUGACAUGCCAUUGUAUUGUAGUAUAAGAUGUAUGUAUGUGUUGCAGUCGUGUAGCAACUUUUUCCUUAAGCUAUCUGCUUGGUGCUUGCUUUGAAAUUCAGUAGCAUGCUUCUCUAUGAAGCUUACCAAAAAAAGUCAACAGAGCAUGAAGGUCGUGAAUUACUCUGGAACAUUAGUCUUACAGGGCUAACAAGGCAAGUGUUUUCUAGGAAGCAUGUACUAUAUUUUAUAGUGUUGUUGAUAAGUUGCAGAACAAAGCAUAAUAUCUGCAAAAUAGUAGAGAUAAAAUAAAAACAAAAAACAACUUCUAUGUUGUAAAGGGACAGAAAAAUGUUUGUAAAACUGCAGUGAAACAUCAUACAUGACUUUUGGGAAAUUCAAGGAUUUCCAUCCGCGGGAGAAAACCGUUCUGUAUCAUAUAAAUCUGUUUUUGCUCAGGUCGGUGAUUGAAAAUUGAUUUAGGUUUUUGACAUACAAAAAAUAUUACAUCUUACCUUUCCCUGUUUUCAGUUGUGCUACUAUUUUGUUGUGUUCCACUUCGGUCAUGGUUUGUGCAUAUGGACUGCUAAUAUCCUUGUCUUCCUAUUCAAGCAUAAAUCUUAAAAUAUUGCAUUCCUUGAAAUCUGUCAUACUGCCUCCUCCCCUGCUUCUCCAUGCAUUUUGUCAGCAUGCCUAAGAAUUUUUCACUGAUAGGAGCCUUUGGUAGCCCCCAUUAGGUAUGUACUGCAUUGUAGGAUAUUAAUUCCAUCUAUUUUGAUUUUGCACAGCUACGGUCAAAACUAACAAAGCAAGAGGGGUGAAUGAUCAUUUGCUAAUAGAUGCUGGAAUCAGUGGAAUAUUUGAGAAGCUAAUAGUUACAACUUUAAACUAUUAUGAUAUUUAGUUUUUCCUUGGCAUUAUUACUUGGAGAAACUAUUCAAAGCAUCCACUUUGCUUUUGAUAACCAUGAAUUUCUAGGUUCAUGCAAAAUCAUUUGAGUUUGCUAAGUUGCAUUCUAAGAACAUGUAUCAAUAAUGAUUGGAAAUGAAAGCUAAUUUUUUAACGGCGAGGGGCUACUGGAGUUUGCACCUGGUGGUGUGAGCUGCGCACCACCUCCUUCAGAGACAGAUGUCCUGUAUAUGGAAACGGCACGAGUUGGAAGCACUAUAUAUGACACCUCUAUCGCUCUUGUUGAUUGCUGGGGUCAGCAUGUGUCGCCGCUGCACUUGGUGGGCCUAGGGAAUUCUAGGACUCUGGAUUGGUUUGGUGGACAGGGAAAUUUGAAUAGCAAGUGAUUUUCUCUCUAUGGAUCCCAUCUAUUUUCCCGUCCACCAAACCAGCCUUAAGAUUUGUUCUGUCUAGAUAGCACAAAAAUUGUCCAUCUUGCUUGCACCCAUAACACUGCUCUGAACAGAAGAUGCAUGAUUAUCUGCAUGCAUUGAACGACAUACCAUAUAAGUGCCACCAGUAACACAAACUUACAUCUUGGAGACACCUUACUAUAUGAUUUAUGUUGACACAACACACGGGUAUUAUACUCACUUCUUAGAGUUGUUUUCUUGGUGCUGUUUCAUUAGAGAAUAUUGUUUUACCAUCUAGCUAGCUGAGUUGGAAGCCCAAUAAUAUACCAAUAUUCUUUGUUUUUGCCUUUUAAAUAUAACAAUUCUUCAGUUUGUUGGAAUUAACCAGUCAGUGUUUUUUUGUCAUUUAACGAUAGAGGAUGCUCUAGCUCUUUGAAGUGGUUAUUGAUCAGUUAAAACUUACACAACAAUUUAUUUUCGUUCUUACUUGAUAGCCUAAACCUACUAAUUGAUGUAGUGGAACUGUGGAUGGGCAAAGGUUUACUGCAUCUAGAAUUCUGAACUAAACAAGAACACAAAUAGUUUUGUUAAGAAUGCUCAUUCAUUCAUAUACUAUAAAAAUUUCAAACAUGAGGUAGCCAUUUCGGUUGGGGAAAUUGUCAUGCCAGUGUUUUAUGACUUUUAAAUAUUGCGUGAAUGUAUUAUCCUGUAGGUUAGGAUCUUAACCGUACCCUUAAUGCUUCAUACUUCUUGAAGAACGAUGGCCACUUUGUCAUUUCAAUCAAGGUACUCCAAGUUAUUAUUCUUAAUUUUGUAGCAGUUGUUUGAAGGACAGGUCUCUUACGGUGGUGAGAGGACUUUUUGUUGUGUGAAAGGUCCUGCGAGGUGCAACACUUGGGUUCGUCUUGUAGUAGUUGUCAAAUAGUCAUACAAAUAUGCAAUCUUGGUCUACAUUGAUCUAAUCUAACAAGAAAACAUUUUGU